GCCCCGGAUGUCGUUCUCGGCUCCUCCUGCCUCAGUGUGACUCAAACUUGUGCGGGGAGAGGGUGUCGCUAUCGUUCCGUGUGUCAAGCUUACCAAACCUUUGCAGCAUGGAGUGAAUUUUGAGAGUUUCGUCGCUUAAAUAUUUUCCCUUGGACGCUCUUCACCAUGGAUAAGAUACGGGUGGCGGUGCGGGUGCGGCCCUUCAACAGGAGAGAUAGAUCGCUGGAGGGGACUCUCGAAAAACGCGAAGCCAUAGAAUAAUAGAAUGGGAGAGUGUGGCCUGCUUCAUCACCGGACGCCAUGUUGCUACCAGAAGAGCCGCGGAAAAUUGUUAUAAAAUAUGUUGCCACCAAUAAAAUGUUACCAGAAAAAUGUUGUUACCCUCCAAAAUGUUAGCAGAAAAAUGUUGUUACCCUCCAAAAUGUUAGCAGAAAAAUGUUGUUUCCCUCCAAAAUGUUAGCAGAAAAAUGUUGUUACC